GACGAACGCUGGCGGCGUGCUUAACACAUGCAAGUCGAACGGAAAGGCCCUGCUUUUGUGGGGUGCUCGAGUGGCGAACGGGUGAGUAACACGUGAGUAACCUGCCCUUGACUUUGGGAUAACUUCAGGAAACUGGGGCUAAUACCGGAUAGGAGCUCCUGCUGCAUGGUGGGGGUUGGAGAGUUUCGGCGGUUGGGGAUGGACUCGCGGCUUAUCAGCUUGUUGGUGGGGUAGUGGCUUACCAAGGCUUUGACGGGUAGCCGGCCUGAGAGGGUGACCGGCCACAUUGGGACUGAGAUACGGCCCAGACUCCUACGGGAGGCAGCAGUGGGGAAUAUUGCACAAUGGGCGGAAGCCUGAUGCAGCAACGCCGCGUGCGGGAUGACGGCCUUCGGGUUGUAAACCGCUUUCGCCUGUGACGAAGCGUGAGUGACGGUAAUGGGUAAAGAAGCACCGGCUAACUACGUGCCAGCAGCCGCGGUGAUACGUAGGGUGCGAGCGUUGUCCGGAUUUAUUGGGCGUAAAGGGCUCGUAGGUGGUUGAUCGCGUCGGAAGUGUAAUCUUGGGGCUUAACCCUGAGCGUGCUUUCGAUACGGGUUGACUUGAGGAAGGUAGGGGAGAAUGGAAUUCCUGGUGGAGCGGUGGAAUGCGCAGAUAUCAGGAGGAACACCAGUGGCGAAGGCGGUUCUCUGGGCCUUUCCUGACGCUGAGGAGCGAAAGCGUGGGGAGCGAACAGGCUUAGAUACCCUGGUAGUCCACGCUGUAAACGGUGGGUACUAGGUGUGGGGUCCAUUCCACGGGUUCCGUGCCGUAGCUAACGCUUUAAGUACCCCGCCUGGGGAGUACGGCCGCAAGGCUAAAACUCAAAGGAAUUGACGGGGCCCCGCACAAGCGGCGGAGCAUGCGGAUUAAUUCGAUGCAACGCGUAGAACCUUACCUGGGUUUGACAUGGAUCGGGAGCGCUCAGAGAUGGGUGUGCCUCUUUUGGGGUCGGUUCACAGGUGGUGCAUGGCUGUCGUCAGCUCGUGUCGUGAGAUGUUGGGUUAAGUCCCGCAACGAGCGCAACCCUUGUUCACUGUUGCCAGCACGUUAUGGUGGGGACUCAGUGGAGACCGCCGGGGUCAACUCGGAGGAAGGUGGGGAUGACGUCAAGUCAUCAUGCCCCUUAUGUCCAGGGCUUCACGCAUGCUACAAUGGCUGGUACAGAGAGUGGCGAGCCUGUGAGGGUGAGCGAAUCUCGGAAAGCCGGUCUCAGUUCGGAUUGGGGUCUGCAACUCGACCUCAUGAAGUCGGAGUCGCUAGUAAUCGCAGAUCAGCAACGCUGCGGUGAAUACGUUCCCGGG
rnacentral:rRNA from 1 species